CCUACGGUAGGCAGCAGUGGGGAAUUUUGGACAAUGGGGGCAACCCUGAUCCAGCCAUGCCGCGUGAGUGAAGAAGGCCUUCGGGUUGUAAAGCUCUUUCAGGUGGAAAGAAAUCGCAUCUUUUAAUACAGGGUGUGGAUGACGGUACCAUCAGAAGAAGCACCGGCUAACUACGUGCCAGCAGCCGCGGUAAUACGUAGGGUGCGAGCGUUAAUCGGAAUUACUGGGCGUAAAGCGUGCGCAGGCGGUUAUGUAAGACAGAUGUGAAAUCCCCGGGCUCAACCUGGGAACUGCGUUUGUGACUGCAUAACUAGAGUACGGCAGAGGGAGGUGGAAUUCCGCGUGUAGCAGUGAAAUGCGUAGAGAUGCGGAGGAACACCGAUGGCGAAGGCAGCCUCCUGGGCCAGUACUGACGCUCAUGCACGAAAGCGUGGGGAGCAAACA
rnacentral:rRNA from 1 species